CCUACGGGUGGCAGCAGUGAGGAAUAUUGGUCAAUGGGCGCGAGCCUGAACCAGCCAAGUAGCGUGAAGGAUGACUGCCCUACGGGUUGUAAACUUCUUUUAUAAAGGAAUAAAGUGAGGCACGUGUGCCUUUUGUAUGUACUUUAUGAAUAAGGAUCGGCUAACUCCGUGCCAGCAGCCGCGGUAAUACGGAGGAUCCGAGCGUUAUCCGGAUUUAUUGGGUUUAAAGGGAGCGCAGGCGGAAGAUCAAGUCAGCGGUAAAAUUGAGAGGCUCAACCUCUUCGAGCCGUUGAAACUGGUUUUCUUGAGUGAGCGAGAAGUAUGCGGAAUGCGUGGUGUAGCGGUGAAAUGCAUAGAUAUCACGCAGAACUCCGAUUGCGAAGGCAGCAUACCGGCGCUCAACUGACGCUCAUGCACGAAAGUGUGGGUAUCGAACAGGAUUAGAUACCCGGGUAGUC
rnacentral:rRNA from 1 species